GCAGUUUUGCAGAUGAAGAAAACAGUGCACACUGGAACCAAGCAGCCAGCCAGAUUUGCACAGCUGGUGUACAGUGGAACCAGCUCCAGUUGCCAUGGAAACCUUCUCUCAAGGCAGAGAGCCCUGGACUAUGAACAUAGCUUUCCAGACGGAAUCUGUUUGAGAAGAAAGGCUUCAGUGACAACCAUCCCCUCUUCCCUGUUGUAAGCUACUGAAGACAGGGAUUGCCAGAAAUCUGAUACUGGGUCUGGUGAGCUGGCCUGGGAGGAAAGGUGCUUGUGUUUGAUGAUGAUGCAAGCCUGAACAGCUGAGUUGGAUCCUUGGAAACUAUAAAAAGAAAGCAUAAUGAUUAAGCUGCCUAUCAACAAAUGCAACAGGAGAAAGAAAUGAGCAGUGACAGAAGUGAUGAAUGGUCAAGCAGAGACUGUAUUACCCAGAGGUCUGCUCCACGCUCUCAGCUGCUUUAUGGAUUGGACUCUGUCACACAGGGAAGUAACUGCUGGCUCUACUGUCUGAACUACUACUUCAGAUCCUUGACACUUAGGGCAGAGUGUGCUGUGCAUCAAGAUUGGAACCACCAAAAUCCAGAAGCCUGCAGACAGAAUUGGCUAGCUCAAAUGCUUUGUAUUUGGAAAGUAUCAAUCUAUAAAAAAAUUUGGAAGUCACCUGAGCAGGUGAAGCUGAAGUAGAGCUGCCAAGCUGGGAAGGCUGUCCUUAAGAUGAUUCUAAGCUUCACAUUAGGCAGUUGAUGUGGAAUUCUAGUCCUCUGGAAAUAAAGAUUCUGUCUUAGGAGGAACAAUUUCAAAGUCAAAAAGCACUUAGCAUCUUAUCCUGAAAUAUCCCUCCUGUGAUGGGUCAUGCCUUGGUUUCUUAGGAGAAGGGGAACUCCUCAGGGAUUAUAUUUAUAAUCUUCCAAUGUCCCUGUGUUGGAGUCUAAACACCAGACUUCACCUGACUCCUUUACAUUAUAUACCAACUAGGAACUUGACUCACCAAAUGCAAUAGAUAACAUUCAUGAAGCACUUGACAAAGCUAGUAAUUGUUCCAGGACAUUUAAAUAUAAAUGCUGCUGGAUUAAUAAAACAAAUAUUUUGUAAAUGGUGAAGUCAAAAGAUAAGUUACUUUGGAGAAGAGGUUUUGCUCUUGUUUCCACAGAAACUGCGAGGCUAUGGA